UACGUAGGGUGCAAGCGUUAAUCGGAUUUACUGGGCGUAAAGCGUGCGUAGGUGGUCUUUUAAGUCGGAUGUGAAAUCCCUGAGCUUAACUUAGGAAUUGCAUUCGAUACUGGGAGACUAGAGUAUGGGAGAGGAUGGUAGAAUUCCAGGUGUAGCGGUGAAAUGCGUAGAGAUCUGGAGGAAUACCGAUGGCGAAGGCAGCCAUCUGGCCUAAUACUGACGCUGAGGUACGAAAGCAUGGGGAGCAAACAGG
rnacentral:rRNA from 1 species